GAGAUCAUGGAGAAGGGGCAGCUGGUGCCGCUGGAGACAGUAUUGGACAUGCUUCGAGAUGCCAUGGUGGCCAAGGUAGAUACCUCCAAAGGCUUUCUGAUCGAUGGCUACCCUCGGGAGGUACAGCAGGGAGAGGAGUUUGAGCGGAGGAUCGGACAGCCCACGCUGCUGCUGUAUGUGGACGCAGGCCCUGAGACCAUGAUCCAGCGGCUCCUGAAGCGCGGAGAGACCAGCGGGCGAGUGGAUGACAACGAAGAGACCAUCAAAAAGCGGCUAGAGACCUACUACAAGGCCACAGAGCCUGUCAUCGCCUUUUAUGAAAAACGUGGUAUCGUACGCAAGGUCAAUGCCGAGGGCUCCGUGGACAGUGUCUUCUCCCAAGUCUGCACCCACCUGGACGCCCUCAAGUAGCAGCCCUGGAGCCCCUUCCCCGGCCGAGCCCCACCCCACCCCUCCUCUGACUGAGGCUGUCCCCAGCCGGAGCUCAGCGCCUCCACCCUGCCCGGCUGGACUGUAGACAGAGGAAGCCACUUUAUCCUGUUUU